rnacentral:rRNA from 1 species
GUCCACGCCGUAAACUAUGGGUGCUAGCCGUCUGCGAGCUUGCUCGUCGGUGGCGCAGCUAACGCAUUAAGCACCCCGCCUGGGGAGUACGGCCGCAAGGUUAAACUCAAAGGAAUUGACGGGGCCCGCACAAGCGGUGGAGCAUGUGGUUUAAUUCGACGCAACGCGAAGAACCUUACCAGCUCUUGACAUGGCAAGUCGGUUUCCAGAGAUGGACUCCUCCCAGCAAUGGGCUUGCACACAGGUGCUGCAUGGCUGUCGU